AGAGCGAACGCUGGCGGCAGGCCUAAUACAUGCAAGUCGAACGGAUCCUUCGGGAUUAGUGGCGGACGGGUGAGUAACACGUGGGAACGUACCCUUUGGUUCGGAACAACUCAGGGAAACUUGAGCUAAUACCGAAUGUGCCUUCGGGGGAAGAUUUAUCGCCAUUGGAGCGGCCCGCGUCUGAUUAGCUAGUUGGUAGGGCAAAGGCCUACCAAGGCUACGAUCAGUAGCUGGUCUGAGAGGAUGAUCAGCCACACUGGGACUGAGACACGGCCCAGACUCCUACGGGAGGCAGCAGUAGGGAAUCUUGCGCAAUGGGCGAAAGCCUGACGCAGCCAUGCCGCGUGAAUGAUGAAGGUCUUAGGAUUGUAAAAUUCUUUCAGCGGGGACGAUAAUGACGGUACCGCAGAAGAAGCCCCGGCUAACUUCGUGCCAGCAGCCGC
rnacentral:rRNA from 1 species